GACGUGACUUCAGAGUUUGAUCCUGGCUCAGGACGAACGCUGGCGGCGUGCCUAACACAUGCAAGUCGAACGGACGAAGCCCUUCGGGGCCUAGUUAGUGGCGAACGGGUGAGUAACGCGUGAGGAACCUGCCUUUCAGAGGGGGACAACAGUUGGAAACGACUGCUAAUACCGCAUAAUGCAUCGAGACCGCAUGAUCUUGAUGCCAAAGAUUUAUCGCUGAAAGAUGGCCUCGCGUCUGAUUAGCUAGUUGGCGGGGUAACGGCCCACCAAGGCGACGAUCAGUAGCCGGACUGAGAGGUUGAACGGCCACAUUGGGACUGAGAUACGGCCCAG
rnacentral:rRNA from 1 species